GUAAUCUGGUGAGCUUCUUAACUUCUCCGUUAGUUUUCACAUUGUAAAAGAGGAACAGGCAUAGAACCUAUCUCUUGCUUGAAACAGUAUUGCACAAGCCUGUCGCUUGUGGAGCUGUGUUUCUAACCUGGUCGAGGCAAGCACAAUCAAGGCAAUGCUGUGGACGCGAAAACAUGGAAGCUGGUGAUAUCUGGGACUGGCAUCUCCAGGAGUGAUACAGGGAUUGGACGUAUUCUACGCAACACGAGAAUAAUGGCUGCAAUUAUUACUGUAUCGGGCACCCCUUCAGACGUACAUUGCUUUUGUACAUUGCUUUACAAACUACAAAGUAGUAAAUUCUUUGGUGUGAGAUA